UCUCUGCUAAUGUUUGCAAUAUCAGAUUCAGUCAAUCAUUUUUCUAUCCAUGAAUUAUGCUCCUCCACUGGUGUUAAGUUGCUCAAUGUACUAGACUUGCAGGAUGCACCUUUGGAGGAUUUUCCUGUUGAAAUUGUAAACCUUUACCUUCUGAAGCAUCUAAGUUUGAAAAAUACAAAGGUGAAAAGCAUUCCAGGUUCAAUUAAGAAGCUGAAAUACUUGGAAACAUUGGAUCUUAAGCACACUUAUGUCACGGAAUUGCCUGUUGAAGUUGCGGAGCUGAAACGGUUACGCCAUCUCCUGGUGUAUCGCUAUGAAAUUGAAUCCUAUGCUCAUUUCCACUCAAGGCAUGGCUUCAAGGUGGCUGCACCUAUAGGAAACAUGCUAUCAUUGCAAAAGCUUUGUUUCAUAGAGGUAGAUCAAGGAAGCAGAGCCUUGAUGGUAGAGUUAGGAAAACUCACUCAACUUAGGAGGCUAGGCAUAAGAAAAAUGAGGAAAGAAGACGGUGCUGCUUUGUGUUCAUCUAUUGAGAAGAUGAUCAAUCUUAGAUCACUUAACAUAACUGCAAUAGAAGAUGACGAGAUAAUCGAUAUUCACAACAUUUCGAAGCCUCCUCAGUAUCUUCAGCAGCUAUACUUGAGCGGUCGUUUAGAGAAGUUUCCUCAAUGGAUAAAUUCUCUCAAGAAUUUGGUCAAAGUUUUCUUAAAAUGGAGCAGGUUAAAGGAGGAUCCUCUUGUGUAUCUUCAAGAUUUGCCAAAUCUUCGACAUCUUGAGUUUCUUCAAGUUUAUGUUGGUGAUACAUUGAAUUUCAAUGCAAAAGGGUUUCCAAGUCUAAAGGUGUUAGGGCUUGAUGAUUUAGAAGGACUCAAACAUAUGAUAAUUGAAGAAGGAGCAAUGCAAAGUCUUAAGAAGUUGGUUAUGCAACGAUGUGGUUCAUUCAAGAAUGUACCAUUAGGCAUUGAACACUUAACUAAGCUAAAAACAAUCGAGUUCUUCGAUAUGCCUGAUGAAUUGAUUAUGGCACUCCGUCCAAAUGUAGGGGCAGAUUAUUGGAGAGUACAAAAUGUUCCAACAGUUUAUUCUACUUAUUGGAGGGAUGGUGGUUGGGAUGUUUAUUCAUUAGAGACUUUUGGGGAGAGAGAGAGCGAUUCCAAUCAUAGUAGCGCAAAGAGGACUCGUGAGCUUCCUACUCUUUGGAAGGUUUAACUUUGGUGUUUGAUUUAUUUAUUCUUUUAAAUAUUGCAAUCAUGUUGUAUGCUUAACAGAUGGAUAUUUUUUAGUUUUCCAUUAUGUAGUAUGCACAAGUGACAUCAAAUUUAUGUUAAGUUUCAACCAAAUAAAUCAUGGAGCAUAAUCUGUUUUUGUGAACUCUUUGAGAUUUCAGAAUAAAAAUGUAUGUUCAAUUUAUGGUUCUUUUGUAGCUGUCGGUUUCCAUGACUAGUACUUCAUAAUUUCUUGGCUGGUUGUGUUUUUUCUUUAUCAUAUAAUAUAGUUCUUAUAGGUACAAGAAAUCAUCAACAAAAAUAAUGGAACAGUAAAAACAGUGGCUUGGGAUUCACAUUGACAACAAAAGUUUAUAAAAUUAAGACUACAUGAGAAAUAAAAUACUAUGAUCUUGUGCAGAAAGGAUAUUGUUGGCAGAAGAGGAAGAGAUUAAACUUUAAAGGGAAUGGUUGGGGAGGGGGAGGGGGAGGGUUCAAGUAAACGUAUGCGAAGGUGAUCUAGGCCGUGACAUAAUGGUAUUUGUGAUUGUCAAAACCGCAACACGUAUGCUAUUGAGGCGCAUCGACCAUUUAUUACCACAAUUUUCUGCAACAUUAGAGAUGCAAUCACAACUGUCGCUGCAAAUACUAUUUAAAUUCCUAGGAAGAAAGACAUUUUGAUUAAAAAAAAAAGUUUCAUCAAAGGAAAAUUGUAAGGGGAGGUAGCAACUCCCUUGAUAUUAGCUUCAUGUGAUGGGCUUGUAAUCUUUCUUAUUUCGAACUCAGCAAGCUUAUUGGGCUUCAUCAGCUCCGACUCCGAGAUAGUUUCUGAAAGCUGCUCAGUAGGCCCCUCAAAAUGCUCAAAGAUCCCUCGAAUUUUCAAAAAAGCCCCUCUCGAGUCCUAUCUCCCGAUCACUUUAGUUUGGUAGUUAAAACCCAAUCUACCCUCAAUUUCAUUUAACCUAGGUUCGGGAGUUAGGAUCUGAACCUGGUUCGGAUCCUAAUUCCUGAACCAUUCACCACACCGAUUCUAUUAUUUUCAUUGCAAUGUCAAUAACAAUUACACAUGCAAUUACCAAUUUUAGGAUAUCUAGAGCAUGCAUUGGUAGAACCUAAACACAUAUGCAAGCAUCAUUUUCAUCCCCCUCUUUAUCAAGUAUCAACCCAAUCUAAAAUUUACAGUUUAUCAUUACCCAAUCAUACGAAGUGAUCAUGCAAGGAAGUUGAGAUUCAAAGAUAAGACACAUAAAAGAAAUGCCUCAAACCAGAUCCCAUAGUUUGGAUAUGCAAUAUACCUUACCAAACAAUGUUAUGGCAAAAACUUUGUAAAGAAAUUAUGGGUUCAAUAAGUGACUCCUGUUGUUCAAUAAUUAGUGGCUAAUACUUUUUUGAAGUCAAUGACCAAUUUGAGUUUUUGUUAAUAAAAAAACCCACGAAAAGAACUAAUUCAAUCUAAUAUACUUUUUUUAGAGGAUUAUAUCUCAACAUAGCUUGUUAAUAUGGAUAAUGUUUGAAAACAGCGUUUCAUUAUUUCUAAUAGAUGCCAUUUCUUCCCACUCAAGUCAUACAUUUUUUCUCUUAUGUAAAUUACAUCGAAGGUCGGUCCAUAACUGCCUUUGAACAUCAUCCAUAGUUUGUCCAUUUAUAAUAUUAAUAAUAAUAAGUCCCCUUACAGUAGGGGUUCCUUCAAAGUUUAUCAUUCUUCACUAAAUUUGACUAUUACAUUGAACAUGGUAUAGUUAUGACCAAUGAACAAUAUUCUUAUUAAUGUCAAAUAUAUAACUCAUUAUGUCCUCACAAUGGCACCAUGCGAGUGUAUCUAUAACAUGCUCAAUAUUAUAAUAUGCAUGUAUAAUUUUGCUAGUUCAACACAUUCAAUUUCUAUGUGUACAUAUUUCUAUUUCUAAACGUGUAAUAUAUUAUGAGCCAAUUUUUCAACAAGCCUGCAAAGAUUCUGGCUUCUUACAAUUAAGCAUAUACCUUGGCAUACGCAAGCAAAUGGUACCAUUUCCUUUCCCAAUUUUAUUUUUUUUAAUACCGCUAGCACACUUUUUUAUUCACUAAAAUGUAUUAAUAGUCAAAUAGUUUAAAGACUAGAAUUUCACCCUUAAAGUGAAUGAGUGGAGAAUCCUGAAUUCGAACAUCAACCAUGUCCCUUGCAUAUUGCAAUGUUCCUACCAAUAAAGGUAUGCUCAUGGGGACGGUCCGUCCAAUAUAUCUUAUCUCCAUCUACCAAAAAAACAUAAUGCAUUAAUCAAGGAACAUAAAGUUGACAAACUUCACGCGCUUUUUUUCAUUCUAUAAACAAUUACUGUUUUUAGCUUCAUAAAGACAUAAACAAUAGUAGUAGUAGUUUAAGAUUCCUUUUCUUUUAAACUUUAAGAUUACUUUUAGUCUAUCUAACAUCGACACUUUAGAUUGAAGGCGUGUUGACUCUCUAACAUGUCACUUUUUUUGUCAAAUUAAUAUUGGUAUUUACGUGUUUGUGUCAGUGUUAUUGUUUCAUAGCUUUUGGUUGAACACACAAACUCUUGCAGCAUAUUAUGUUUCAUUUCUUUAUAGAAAAUUAGUUAUCUACUUGUGUGAUGACCUCAUAUCAAUUUCAGGUAAUGAGAAAAUCUGGUUAGCAUAUCAAAGUUUGUCUCUAUUAGUCUGCUACGGACUUGCAGAAUAAUAGAACCUAAGUUCAAAAAAUCUUGAAAAUUAUUGGUCCGAAACUACCACCUCAACAACUCUUCCUCUAACUUCUAUAUUUAGCUUGGUUAUUGGGCUUAGGCUUAAAACCAAGUGUUCAGUCGUCACUGAGGGUAUUUUGACUGAUCUAGAGAUCAUGGCAGAGGCUGUGAAUUUUCUUCUGCAAAGGCUUGUACCUGUAUUCGAGAAUGAGGUGAAUUUGCUCACAGGGGUUGAAGCAGAAGUGGUGUAUCUGAAAGAAAAAUUGGAGCUCAUAAAAGCUUUCUUAAAGGUUGCUGAUGCGUUAGAAGAAAGUGACGAGGAACUCAAAGUUUGGGUUAAGCAAGUCAGAGAUGUUGCUCAUGAGACUGAAGAUAUUCUUGAUGAAUUGGAACUUCUUGUCCAGGCGCGUAAUCAUACAAACAGAUUCUUUGUUUUUUUACGCAUCAGGAAUAUGAAAGCUCGUUAUCGGAUUGCUCAUGAGUUGAAAAACAUCAACUCUCGCAUGACAACUAUUUUUUCAAUCCACAAGAGAUUCCUCAGAAAACUAGACUUUGCUUCAGAUGCUUCAAAUUCCAUUUAUACAGGUACUACUAACUGCAAAUACUCUUUCCAGAUAAAGUAAUAUAAAGUAAUACUUUUUAACAGUCUUCAAACUCUUUCUCAAUUAUGCUAUUAUUUGUAAGUACUUUUAUUAGCACUCUCUGAGCUUUGAGGCUUGCCCUGGCCUCGGUGAGUCCCAGGAUCCAAAUCACCUAAAUCUAAGUUACAAAAAAAAAUCGGAAAAUUUUAAUUACACUAUAUUUCUUGUUACUAUUAGAAGAAAAAAUAUUUAAAAGAUGGAAGAAAAAAUGUGUGAUCGGUGUUCUCUACACACUUAUCACACCGUUUCUUGUUACUUGUGUUGUGUGUGUAGUGUCUGACACCAACUGACUGACACUGUGAUAAUAUUCAAUCACUUCUAUUUUAUUAAAUCAUUAUUGGUCAUACGUGGCGGUGUUGUGUUCGGUGUAUAUGUAUUAGCAGUGUUUCUUACUGAACAAGGGAAAUGUAUUUGUUUCUUUAUAACAAAACUCUCACUUGUCAGACUAAUACAAACCAAACAUGAUUUCUAGCAGGUAAAAUAUGGCAUGAUCAACGAGGAGAUGCUCUUCUUUUAGACAACACUGAUCUAGUGGGCAUAGACAGACAUAAAAAUCAGUUGAUUAGGUGGUUGAUUAAAGGUUCUCGUGGACGCAAAGUAAUUUCGGUUACCGGAAUGGGAGGGAUGGGAAAAACUACUUUAGUGAAAAAAGUAUAUGAUGAUCCAAAGGUGAUAAAACACUUUGAUGCCUGCGCUUGGGUUACUGUUUCUCAAUCUUGUGCAAUUGAGGAGCUACUCAGAGACUUGGCCCAAAAGCUUUUUUCCGAAAUAAGACGAAAAGUUCCAAAAGGCCUGGAAAGCAUGCAUAGAGACAAGUUGAAAAUGAUUAUCAAAAAGCUGUUGCAGAGAAGGAAGUACCUGGUUGUAUUUGAUGAUGUGUGGCAUAGGCAUGAAUGGGAAGCUGUCAGAUAUGCACUUCCAAAAAACAAUUAUGGCAGCAGGAUCAUGCUCACCACACGUAAAUCUAACUUAGCCAAUAUUUCCAGCAAAGAAUCCAAAGGUAAGGUAUAUAACCUACAACCCUUGAAAGAAGAUGAAGCAUGGGAUCUAUUUUGCAAAAAGACUUUCCAAGGUCACCGAUGCCCUUCAUAUUUAAUUAACAUAUGUAGUUAUAUCUUAAGAAAAUGUGAGGGCCUUCCUCUUGCGAUUGUAGCAAUGAGUGGUGUCCUUGCUACAAAAGACAAACAUAGGAUAGAUGAGUGGGAUAGGAUUUGCCGUAGUCUUGGAGCUGAAAUUCAAAUCAACGGAAAACUUGAUAAUCUGAAAACAGUACUUAGCCUCAGUUUUAAUGAUUUGCCUCACUACUUAAAGUAUUGUUUCUUGUACUUAAGCAUGUUUCCUGAGGACUAUCUGAUUCAACGCAUGAGGUUGAUUCGGUUAUGGAUAGCAGAAGGAUUUAUCAAAGCCGGAGAAGGAAAAACAAUGGAAGAUAUUGCAGAGGAUUACCUGAAGAAGCUUAUAAACAGAAACUUGUUACAAGUAGCAGAGCGAACAUCUGAUGGAAGAGUCAAAACUUUGAGGAUCCAUGAUCUUUUGAGGGAGAUUAUUAUUUUGAAGUCAAAGGACCAAAACUUUGCAACAAUUGUCAAAGAACAGACUGUGAUACGGGCUGAAAAGAUUCGACGACUUUCACUUCAAGGUACACUACCAAUUCCAAAUGGACAGCAACAUAUAUCUGUCUCUCAACUCCGUUCUCUCUUAAUGUUUGGAGUGGAUGAAAAUUUAUCCCUCGGCAAACUGUUUCCAGGUGGAUUCAAACUCCUCAAUGUUUUAGAUUAUCAAGAUUCACCUUUGAAGAAGUUUCCGAAAGCAGUUGUUGACCUAUAUCAUUUAACAUAUCUGAGCUUGAGAAACACACAGGUGAAAACGAUUCCAAAUUGUAUACUAGGAAAGUUGCAAAAUCUAGAAACACUGGAUCUCAAGAAUACUUGUGUUACAGAAUUGCCUACAGAUAUAGUGAAGGUUAAGAAGCUACGCCAUCUUCUUGUAUACCAGUCUAAAGUCGAAGGUUACGCACAAUUUCACUCCAAAUAUGGUUUUAAAGCCCCCCUUGAAAUAGGAAAUUUACAGUCACUACAAAAGCUUUGUUUUGUAGAGGCAAACAAAGGAUGCAGAAUGAUAAUAAGACAUUUAAAGGAGCUGAGCCAACUAAGAAGGUUAGGCAUCAUGAGACUCAGAGAGGAAGAUGGGAAGGAUUUCUGUUUCUGCAUUGAAAAAUUAGUCAGUCUUUCUGCACUCUCUGUUACUUCUGAGGGUGAGAAUAAAGUUAUUGAUUUGACAUCUCUUUCUACACCGCCUCCAUUUCUUCAACGAUUGUAUUUGUCAGGGAGGCUAAAAGAGUUACCAUGCUGGAUACCUUCACUUCAUAACCUGGCCAGGUUAUUUCUGAAAUGGAGCUAUUUGAAACAUGAUCCACUGGUAUAUCUGCAGGAUUUGCCAAACCUUGCACAUCUUGAACUACUUCAAGUUUAUGAUGGUGACACAUUGCAUUUCAAGUGUGGGAAGUUCAAUAAGCUCAAGGUUUUAGGCAUCGACAAAUUUGAAGAACUCGGUCAGGUGAUAGUGGGGAAAGGUGCAAUGCCUUGCCUUGAAACACUGAGCAUUGGGCGUUGUGAGUCAUUGAAGAAGGUGCCAUCAGGCAUUGAAAAUUUGACUAAAAUUAAAGUCCUAGAGUUUUUCGAUAUGCCAGAUGAACUCAUGAUGACAAUAUGCCAACAUGGUCCGGGAAAAGAUUACUGGAAAGUAUCACAUAUACCAGAGGUUUAUUCUACCUAUUGGAGAGAUGGUGGCUGGGAUGUUUAUGCACUAGACAGUCUCAGAGAUUGUUCUCCCCGAUCUGGCACAGUCAGGAGAAGCCAUGAGUGCCGGAAUCAGUGGAAGGUGUAGCAUUAAAUUAGGGAAUUAUAACAAAAAUAUAUAGAAUAAGUUGUGUAUAUUGUAUAUUAACAAACUGAGCUGACUUGUUUCAUGUAUAUAUGUCAGCACUCAAAAUAAAGGUGUAGAUUUUAUUUCACCUUUGUGUAAAUUUGAUCAUUAAUAUAUAUAAUUCUUCCAAUAUAUUUCAUUUUCAAAUCCCAUUAUUUCCCUAUGUGUAAAUAUCGCAUUAUCUUCCAAUGGACUUGAUAUAGUUGCAUUAAUACACACUCGACUUGUUUUUUGGAUUAUCAAAGAGCCUAGCAGCAAAACUCAUAUUCUAAUCCGCAUUCUAACAUAUCAAAUGUACCUGCAGCCUUUUUACCUUCCGAGUUGUACUUACAGGACGGUAGACACUCAACUUUAACCAAGUCUUACAACUAACUCUAACUGAAUCACAAUCAACUCUACUGACAGUUUAUAGUUUAAUUCUAUAUAAUUGUUAGGAGAGUUAAUAACCCAAAUAGAUUUUGUUAGUGAGUUAAUUAGAUAGUUAGUAGGUUAAUACUCAAAUAAACUUGCUCCAUAAAUAAAGCACAUUGUACUCAUUUCAAUAUCAACUUUAAUCAUGAUCCCUUUUGAAUUUAAUCAAUGAUAGAUAAACUAUUACAAGAUGCAAAUAAGAGUAAUAAUAUAAAUGUAGUUAACAGUGAAUGUUAAAAAUAUAUAGAAGUUACCUGAAUCGCUAAAAGCUUCUUAUUCCAUCAUGACCUUAAUCAAGUUAUGAAUUCCUGCAUAAUAGCAAACGCGAAAUAAACAAACAUUACAGAAUUCUCAAACAAGAAAUUAAAUUCGGAAACUAACUAUAUUUUUUAAUUUUAUCGAAAUUGAAAAGCUAUUAUUAGAAAAUUGAUUGAUUGAUCCAACCCCCAAUGUCGUUCCCAUUAUCCUAUGGAAGCUUUGUUUCCCACCCCCAACCCCAAUGUUCAUAAAUACCUCAAUUCUCUUUUUUCUUUUUUUGACAAAAUUACUCUUCUUUUCAAGUAGGCUUGCAGAUGGAAUAUGUCUGAAAGUAUAUUUUUGAACAUGUUUUGUUUUAUUUUUGGCGUAAUUCCGAUAUCCUCCGCACGCAACUUGCGGAGAGUAAUAUCUCGAGUCUUACAAGACCCAAAUGGAUGGCGCGCAGCUUGCGAAGACUAAUACAUUGAGUCUUACAAAUCUCAAAGACAAGAUGUGAAAGAGAUCAAGUCAAGUUGUUAGGAGAUUAACUCACAGCUAUAGAGUUAGAAGUCAACUGAUUUUUCCUAGCAAGUUAAUAAGUUUUUUAUUAGAGUUAAUUCUAUCAUUAAUAGUUUUAUUACAGAGUUAUUUUGGCAGAUUUAAACUAAUUUUUUUGUCAACUGUUUAUCUAUAUAUAAACACUAGCCUAUGUAAUUUCACUCUAAGCAAUUGAUCAAUGAGAAUGUUUUUGCCUUUCCAACAUGGUAUCAGAGCUUGUCGAAUUCAAGGGCCGCCUAAAUCUAUUCACGCACCAAGUCCAAAGAGUGUUGGGCGUGAGGGGGUGUAUUGGAAAAAAUCCAAGUCCCACAUCGGAUAGACAAGACUCUUGAGAAGAGUUUAUAAAGAUGAGGCAAUCCUCACCUUAUAAGCCGGUUUUGUAAGGAUGAGUUGGGCCCCAAAUUUCAACAGGGUGAGGAUUGCCUCAUCUUUAUAAACUCUUCUCAAGAGUCUUUAUAUAUUGAUAAUUGCAACCGGUUCAAAGUAGGGCUGAAUUUGCACACACAGCCGGUUGAAAAAGUAUAUGACUUGUAGUGUGGGUGAUUUAGGGGGGUGUAUUGGAUUGAGAUUUUAAAAGACUGUUUUGAUAGAAAAAAUCUUGAAGAUUUUAAAAGACUUUGUUGGAUUGUAUUGAUUUUGUGGGAUUUUAAAAUACUUUUUUUGAAAGACUUUUUACAAUCAAGAUUCUUUGCAAGAUUUUAAUGGAUUCAUGAUAUAGAUUUUAAAGGAUUUUAAUGGAUUUUAAAGAUUUUAAAAGGGUCAAUAAAUUUAAAGAUACAGUACAGACCAAAAAAUCUCAAAAACAAAAGUACAGUUAUAAAUCAACCGAAAAAAAACAUUGAAUCAAUGAGUGUAAUAUUUCUUCAAAAAAAAGACUAUUAGAUAAUAUACUACUAGCAGGUUGAUUGAUCUUAAAAAUUCUGGACAUAUGAUAUCAAAAUAAAUAGACCUAAAAAUAAGUUAUGUUAGUUUAUUGAUUAUAAUAAUUUGAUUGAAAAAUGCAUGUUACAUGUAGAAAAAUGCAAGUAGGAAACACAUUAUUCUAGAUGAGCAUGAUCAUGCUUGAACAUAUGUUCAAAUGAAAGUUGUUGUGGUCUAUGUUGAUUAGAAGCAUAACAAGGAACACUUUGCAUUAUCUCGCAAACGAGGUUGAUCGAGCAGUUGUGUGUGAUACGGGUAAAUCUAAGUGUGGUUGUUUAAUUUUCAUCAUAUACGAAUUGUCGUGUGCGUGUACGAUUGCAUUGAAGAUAAAAAACAACCCCCCAACCGUUUGGAUGAAAUCCACUCACGGGAAGAGGUUGCAGUUCGAAUAUGAUGGUGCUCCUAAGGCUGAAAAGGCAGACAUCUCUCUUACCAUAGUGGGAUUUGCUUCAUGUACUUAUUCCUUAAAACUGUGUUUAUUUCUGCCCAGUUUUUAUACAUUCAGUUUUGUACUGGUAUGUUUCAGAUUAUAUAAUCCCAACUACACCUAUAUGUAUUUCAGAUUAUAUAAUCUGAAAAGGUCGCAUUUAAGGCCCCGUGCAGACGUACCUGAGAUGCCUGAUUUGGGGUGCUUGAAGGUUUUCAGAUUAUAUAAUCUAAAAUGUGUCGUCCAGUUUUAGAUUGUAUAAUUCGAAACCUCAUAGACACAGAACUAAAUGCAGUUUUUUCCCAGUUUUCUACAACAUUCCACCUAACAGUUUUUUUACACAUUGUAGGCCUGGUUCAACGAGGCUGGUUACAACAUGAAUGUUCAUAUCAAAGAACAAUUUCAACAGUUUGUUUUGUCGGAAACAACUUCUAUACGUCCAUUGCCAAAAAAGGUCACCACUAAAGGAGCUCCAAAGAAAGAUAAACAUAUCAUUUGGUCGAAAAAGCGACCACCUUCGCUCUAGGAGCAUGUUGAAUCCCAGGAUCCAUAGACACAAGCUUCACAUACACAUUCAACAGGGACAAAUAAAAAAUAUGACUUGGGCGAGCGCUAAUAAUUCCAUUUUUUUAGAGGACAACCUUAUGCAAAUUUAGAGGACUACCUUAUACAAAUUUGUCAUAGAUUGGGUUUUCUAACCGAGUCAUAUGGUUUUAUCCGGUUUAGUCGUGAGGUUCAACCAGUGAUCCAGUGGUUGGACCAAUGAACUCUUGAACCAAUUACCUUGUCGGUUUGAUGUUCGGUCCGGUUUUUAAAACAUUGCUACUAGCUUUCAUUAUUUUAUGGAAAAUAUUAAAUAGUGUCUCAUGAGUAUUGGUUAAAUAGUACCUCAUGUAUGAAAAAUGACAAUUUAUAUUUCCAAGAUAAAAAAAUUAUUUUUGGAUUUUUUAACUAAUGCUCUAGAGGCACCGAUUAGCAAGAUUGUUAUUUUUUUUCUCUGAAAAAAGUUUAUUGCUCUUUUAAGUAGCUACAGCCUUUCCUUUUCCUUUCCCAAUUUAUUUUUUGGUAAUUUUAAUCGGUUAACUGUAAUCAUGGGAAUGAUCAUUUAACACUCCUUUUUCAAGCAAAUUCAAAAAACGUUUAUUGGAAACAGAGAGCAGCUUUUAUUACCAUUGGAAAUUAAACAACCAUUUUUGUCAAUAACCUAUCAUAAUUCUCUCUAUCAAUGUUUAGGUGCCCCUUUAUAUUUAUCGAGGUAAAGGCAUGAUAAUAAUCUUUUUCAAAAGUUUAUUUAUUGGAAACGUUUUGUUUCCACAAGCAGUGUAUAUAAAAGGUUAUAAUUCGAUAGCAUCUUGUUCAUUGUGAUGAAAUGGCUUCUUGUUCAAUCUCUGCAAGGGAAACAGGAAGCGAGAGCGCAACAGUACCAAAUUGGCUUGAACUUCCGACAGACAUCAUAACAAACAUUCUUCGGAGGCUUGAUACCAUUGACAUAGUAAAAAAUGCAUGUAUAGUAUGUCCUCUAUGGUGGAGCAUAUGCAAGGAUCCUCUCAUGUGGCGUACCAUUCGCAUGAUAGGUGAACGCAGUUACUUUAAUGCAAAUUUCCCAGAGAUCUGUCAUUAUGCUGUUGAACGAAGCUGCGGUCAUUUAGAAGAGAUUUCUGUUGAGUAUUUUGCCACAGAUGAGCUCCUUGAAUUCAUAGUUGAGAAGUAAUAAUAAUUGAUAAAAGAAUCUUUUUUCUUGUAUAUAUUUCAAUUGCGUAUAUUGUUUUAUCAUCCAUGAUUUAUUUUCUAAAUUUUUAUGCUGCUUAAUGAUGGCUUUAUGCAUUUGCAGUGGCACUAAUCUGAGAUGCAUGCGGCUUGUAGAAUGCCAAUACAUUUCAGAUGAAGGAUUUUGCAAAGCUGUGAGAAAACUUUUGCAGUUAGAGGAGUUAGAGAUUUCAUUAUGUAGCCUAUCGAAGGAGUCUCUUGAAGUCCUUGGCCGAUCUUGCCGUCUUUUAAAAUCUCUCAUAUUUUCUAGAGAGUGGAAUAGACCAGUUGCCGAUGAUGGUGAUGCUUUAAUUAUUUCAGAAACAAUGUCUAGACUUCGCCGUCUUCAUCUUGAUGGAAAUAGGCUCACUGACAUUGGGCUUCUUGCCAUUCUGAAUGGAUGUCCUCUUCUCGAGUCACUUUACAUUGGAGGAUGUUAUCAUCUUGAAUUGAGUCAAGGAUUGGAAGAAAGGUGCCUUGAGCAGAUCAAAGAUGUACGAUUGUCAUUUACGAUCGACUAUUUACAAGUUCUUUUAUGAUGGUCAUGUUUAUUAUUAUUAUUAUUAUUAUUACUAUUAAUUUAGUUUGGAAAUGAAGAUUAAAAGUUAGGUUAUUAUUAUCGUUGAUAUUAAUUUAGAGCAAAUUUGUUUAAGGCAAUGGACGGCAUAAUUUUAUAAUUUUAACUAUUGUCAUUUAUUUUCUAGACUAUAUGUGACAUACUUUAUCAAUCUGAUGGAUAUUUUCUGGGUUUAAUUGUUAUCAAUUUUGUUCUUGAGGAUUGCAUGUUUUCCUAUAUUGUUGAAUGACUCCUACGGUGGAUUUGGUAUGCAACUUCUUUGUACAAAAGUAGCUGAAUAUGUUAACCAUGAUAUGUUUCCUGGGAAAAAGCAUAAUUGAUAUCAUUAAUUUAAAAACUAUUCUAUUGUUUUAGACUUUAGUUCAACCCACAUAUAAUCAAAGUCCACAAUCCAAAACAUUUUGUGAAUAUGAACGCAAUUCAUCAGUCAUAGAGAAAGAGCAAACACCGAACAAAAUGAAAGAGGGAAUGAUGGAGAACAAAAGCCACACAAUAAAACAAGAGUCAGAUUUAUUUAUUUUCAAUAUUUGGGGUGUAAAAACGGGGACCCGUUUUUUUCCGGAAGCAAGAUGAAACGAUAGGAAAUAACAAGGGUAAAAAUGAAUUUUAAAUAAAUUGAUAAGGUUAAAUGUGAAAUAAGAAAUGAUAAGUUAUAAACUACAAGCUCAAAUGCUUUUUUGAAACAUCGUCUAAAAAAAUAAGUCAUAAGUUUAUGAAUAUGAUGAAAUGAUGAUUAUCAAACAAGACUAUUUUAGUUCCACAAGCUAAUAAGCUCAUUAUUUUUUUUGGGUUUACAAAAUUGAAACAUAAGCCACUCAAGAUUAUAACAAUUUAUUCUUCCAAACAAAUUCGUCUUUUUGCACGGUAAAUAAAAUAUAAAAAUCUCCUGAAGUAAAGGUGGACGAGAUCGUAAUAAUAAAAAGGGUUUGUCUAACAUGUGCAAUAUUGCACAUGUUAAAGAAACUAAAAGUAGUAACUUUUCAUUGAAAACCAACAAUUAAUUAUUAAAAAUUUACAUAUUUAAUAUAAAUGCACAAGUUUCAAGUCAAAGUUACUACUUUAAACUUCUUAUCAUGUGCAAAUUUGCACAUGAUAGAAAAACCCUAAUAAAAAAAAUUAAUACUAAGGAAGCUUCGAAUCAUGAAAUGUUGGGAAAAAAUUGAGCAUCAAUUCUUUUUGUUGUUGAAAGCAAAACAUGUUAAUUUUGUUUUUUGUUAUCAUAAUUGGUGGUGUAAUCCGUUAGUUUGUUUGGGUAUCGAGUUGGUAAUCAUUUACAAUUUAUCGACAAUACGUUGUUAUUUGGGCGUAAAAGUUGGACGAAUAUUGUUAGAGCCUUAUGUACUAUUUUGUAUUUGUUUGAGGCAAUGUCUGAUUUAAAAGUGAACUUUCAUAAGAGUUUAUUGGUUGGUGUUAGUGUUAAUGAUAUUUGGUUAACUGAGGCGGCUGCGGUGUUGAAUGCAAAAUUGGGAAGUUACCUUUUGUUUUUUGGGCAUGUUGAUUGGGGGUAAUCCGAGACGCUGGACGAAUGUUAGAGCCUUGUGUACUGUUUUGUAUUUGUUUAUUAAGGCAAUGUCUAGUUUAAAAGUGAACUUUCUUAAAAGUUUGUUGGUUGGUGUUAAUGUUAACGAUUCUUAGUUAACUCAGCGGCUUCGGUGUUGCCUUCAUUGUAUGAGUUGUUGCCUACUUGUCUGCAUGACUUGCUGCGGAUGAAGGAAUAUUUUGGGUAUAGAUUUUGUUCCAUUUUAUUUUUUUUUAUGGUGGUCGGGGUUCGAACCCCGAACCUUGCAUAUUUUAUGCAUUGUCCAUACCAACUGAGUUAAGCUCACGAGGACAUUCCCUUUUAUUUUGUCAGCAUCAUGUUCAUCUUCGUAUAGAAUCAUUGAAAUUUAAUGAAAUGAAGUUUAUUUUGUAAAAAAUAAUAAUAUCAACAGUGCACUAUACUUAGGGAUGAAUUAAUUAGGAAAUGAGGAAGUAACUACCUAGAAAAUACAUAUACUUAGGGGUGAAUAAUUAGGAAAUUACGAAGUAACUACCUAGAAAAUACAUAGAAAAAGAAGAAUCGUAGUGAGAUUUCUAUACCGUUGUACACUUGAACAAUUCAUCCAUGUUCUAACGUUCUAUUGAUAUUACAAGACUACGAGAAUGGAGGAGAUUAAACUGUGUUGGAGCAUUUUUUUUUUUUAAGAUGAUCAAGUUAAGAGUAUGUUUUAGUUCAUUUUUGAAUUGGUCAAAAUUAUUUUUAGAGAUGUAAAAUUGAUUUCGACAUGUUUAGAUAUUUUAUAAUAUUAUUUGACUUUGUUUUAAGAAUCUUGACUUUGUCUUAAGAAUUGAUUCUAACUAGAAUUUGUAGUUUUCGAUUUAUAUAAAAGAAUUUGUAGCUUUGAAUUAAUUUUUUAAAUCACUUUUACGUGAAUGUUUCCAAACAAAUUAUUAGUUUAUCUUCAUCAAUAGUUUUUAUAUAAUUAAAAUGGAGAUAGUAAAUAUAUAUUGUGUUCGAAUCAAAACAUGCUUUUUGACUAACACUUUUGUUGAGUAAAACUUUUAUUUUAAUAGAUUGUUCCUGAGGUUGUUAUCUGUAUUAUAUUCAAAUGAUUUCACUAAUCAUUUAUCAAUUUUCUUUGCAUCAUUGCUUACACUCCACUCCUUAGUCUGUACGUAGCAAAUCGAUCUUGUAAAUCCAAUGAUAAUAAUAUCUAUGCAAGAUUAUUAUUUUUUAAAUAUGCUAGUCCUCCCCCAAGUAAAUAAUAUAUUACAGGUACCUAAAAUAAAACAACAUGGAAAAAAAAGUGUUAUAUUUGGAGGGACUUAAAACAAAACAAAAAUAUAUAUAUUUGUAGGAAUGAAAAAUAUUUAAACCCAAGAUUAUAUUUAUAUAAAACAAAUUAAUGAUGUAGCACGAUGGAGACAGACAUAUAAAUUAAAUUUGUCAUUCAUCGUGAAUAUUUCGACUAGUUAAUUUCAUAAAUGUUUUUGCUAAAUAGUCUUCGUUUUUUUUUUGUUAAAGUCAAAUAGGAUACAACGACGUCCUUUUCAUCGUGGGAAAAUAUGAUAAUAUAAUGGUAGUUGACAAUUUCCUUGAAAGGCAUGCAUAUGCACACCAGCAAAGCAAGGAAACGAAUCCAUAAAUCUCAUCGCUCUUUUGCAAUUGCAACUAAUCUUGGACCAUCUUCUUUAAUUUAAACCACUUCGUCUUGUUGUGUUUGGGGGUUGUGGACGGUCAAUAUUCAUACAAAUGCUAACUAGCCCUGUACAAGGGCGGCGCCAGUACUUUAGCAAGGGCACGCCCCUUUCCCUUAUCCCAAAACUGCCGUUCACGUGUCUUGGUGUUAAAUAUUCGGCUAGAAUGUCCAGAUUCAGAGGAAUAUAUGUGUUCGCCCAAGAAGGCUCAAAUGGCUAUAAAUAACACCUUUAGUUUCAAUAUCGUACUCGCCACAAGUACAAGUCCUAUAAAAAAAAGUCAUAGAAAAAAUGAGAGAGAAAAACACUCAGAAUUCUCAUCAUCAAGUUCUUGAAACUUUCUCAUCUAGAGAGCAAAAAAAAAAACAACAUUGAAAAUAAAGGCAAAAAGGUCUAGAAAAAUGAAAGAAAAUAAUGAGAUAUGCUAUAUGGCAUAUGACACAAGAAUGCUAGAUCAACAUGCAAUUUACCUCAUAAAAAGAAAAUCAAAGACUGUAAAGGUCAAAACCCAAAACUCUAAAGCAGUACUAGUUACUGGAAGACAAAUAUGAGACAAGACAAAAAAAUUAUCAUUUUUUGUUUUGUUGAAGUCAUAUACUAUGGUAAUAUAAUGGUAGUUGACAAUUUCCUCGAAAGGCAUGCAAAUAGUUUAUAUAAGCACACCAGCAAAGCAAGAAAAGGAAUAUACAAAUCUUAUCAUCAAAAGAGAGAAAAUACUCAGAAAUCAAAUCAUCAAUUGUUUGCAACUUUUAACAUUUCGAGAGCAAAAAAAAAUAGAUUGAGAAUAAAGGCAAAACCUUCUUAAAAAGUGGAAGAAAAUAAAAAUGGCAGACAGUUCAGUAUCAUUUUUAUUGGACAAGCUAACAUGGUUACUUCAAGAGGAAGUAAAUCUACAAAGAGGAGUCCGUGAAGAUGUUCAAUACAUCAAAGACGAACUUGAACGCCACAAGUCCAUCUUGAUGUUAGCUGAUUCAUUGGAAGACAAAGACCCUGAACUCAAAGUAUGGGUUAAAAGAGUAAGAGAUAUUGCUCAAGACAUGGAAGAUGCUAUAGAUGAAUACUAUCUUCGCCUUGUCGAUCAUCAACAAGGCAAAAUCAAAUCUUCUUAUCACAAGAUUGUUUUUGGAAUUAAGACCAUGAAAGCUAGACGCAAAAUUGCUUCAAAUAUACAAGGAAUCAAAUCCAAAGUUGAAGUUAUCUCGCACAGACGUCCAAUCAUACCUUCAAGCUCAAGUCAAAGGCUUUCAUCAAGACUUGAUAGUCAAGGUAAUUUGGAAUUAAUUUUGUUAAUAAUUAAUUAUAUACAAUACAUGCUCAAUGCACAAAUUAAAACUAUAAUCAUACUUUAGUGUGGAAGUCAAAUAAAUAUAUGAACAUGCAUAUCAACAACCUUAGGAUCUACGGCGUGUUGAUUUAUCAAAGAUAUUUUAAAAAUACCUGAUUUCAUUGAUAAUAGUCUCUCAACAGUACUCCUAAAAUUCAGAGAGUCGCUGAUAAUGAACACCUACCGGUUAGUGCUUCUCCCUCAACUGGAACUUAUAUGCUCUUCAGAUGGGGAUAAGAGGCAAGGAAGGUGCAUUAUUUCCAUUAUAUUGGAUAUCAUAGCCUAUAUAUUAAGUGAUGGCCAAUUGUGGUUCUGUUAUUCCAAGACAUCACAUUAGUAAUAUUCACUCAUAUUUGAAUCCAUAUAAACUAGUUAUUUAAUUCAUUAUUAAAUUAGAAAUAUAAUUAGCUUUAUUACAUAAUUUGAUAACUAAUCAAUUAAAACUCCUAAUUGUUAAAUAGCUAUUAUAAUUUUAAAUAAAUAUUCCAACAGGUGAUGCCCUUUUGCUGGAGGAAGCUGAUUUAGUUGGAAUUGAACAUCCAAAGAAGCAGCUCUGUGAUUUGCUUUUCAAAGAUGAAUCAAAUAGGGCUGUGAUUUCCAUUUAUGGUAUGGGAGGUUUAGGGAAGACAACAAUAGCAAAACAAGUCUAUGAUGAUCCAAAAGUCAAGAAGCGUUUUAGGAUUCAUGCUUGGGUUAAUCUCUCUCAAUCUUUCAAAAUGGAAGAGUUGCUUAAAGACCUUGUUGAACAGAUUCAUAUUCUCAUCGGAAAACCAGUUCCAGAAGCAGUUGAAAGGAUGAAAAGUGACAAGCUGAAAGAGUUGAUUAAGGAUUUGCUUCAGAGAAGCAGGUACCUAAUUGUGCUUGAUGAUGUGUGGCAUGUGAAUGUAUGGGAUGCUGUAAAGCUUGCUUUGCCUAAUAAUGACCGUGGAAGUAGAGUGAUGCUUACGACGCGCAAGAAAGAUAUAGCUUUGUAUUCUUGUGCUGAAUUAGGUAAGGAUUUUCACCUUGAAUUCUUACCUGAGCAAGAAGCUUGGUCUCUUUUUUGUAGGAAGACAUUUCAAGGUAAUAAUAACUCAUGUCCUCCUCAUCUUGAAGAAGUUUGUAGGAAUAUCUUGAAAUUGUGUGGAGGGUUACCAUUAGCAAUUGUGGCAAUCAGUGGUGCUUUGGCUACAAAAGGAAGAUCAAACAUAGAAGAGUGGCAGAUAGUUUGCAGAAGUUUUGGUUCUGAGAUUGAAGGCAAUGACAAAUUGGAAGAUAUGAAGAAAGUACUUUCCUUAAGUUUCAAUGAAUUGCCUUACCAUCUUAAAUCAUGCUUGUUGUAUUUAAGCGUCUUUCCAGAAUUUCACGCUAUCGAGCAUAUGAGAUUGAUUCGAUUGUGGGUAGCUGAAGGAUUUGUAAAUGGUGAAGAUGGUAAGACACUAGAGGAAGUUGCAGAUCGUUACCUUAAGGAGCUUUUGAACAGAAGUUUGCUCCAAGUGGUAGAAAAAACCAGUGAUGGAAGGAUGAAGACUUGUCGUAUGCAUGACCUUCUAAGAGAAAUUGUUAAUUUCAAGUCAAGGGAUCAGAACUUUGCAACAGUAGCCAAAGAACAAGAUAUGGUAUGGCCGGAACGAGUUCGUCGUUUAUCGGUCAUAAAUUCAUCACAUAAUGUACUUAAACAGAAUAAGACCAUAUUCAAACUUAGGUCUCUGCUAAUGUUUGCAAUAUCAGAUUCAGUCAAUCAUUUUUCUAUCCAUGAAUUAUGCUCCUCCACUGGUGUUAAGUUGCUCAAUGUACUAGACUUGCAGGAUGCACCUUUGGAGGAUUUUCCUCUUGAAAUUAUCAACCUUUACCUUCUGAAACAUCUAAGUUUGAAGAAUACAAAGGUGAAAAACAUUCCAAGUUCAAUUAAGAAGCUCCAAUACUUGGAAACAUUGGAUCUUAAACACACUUGUGUCAUGGAAUUACCUUUUGAAAUUGCGGAGCUGAAACGGUUACGCC
rnacentral:lncRNA from 1 species